AGGCCUGUAGGCUAGCGGUAAACUAGCGGUCUCCAAAACCGCUGUCGGGGGUUCGAUUCCUCCCAGGCCUG
rnacentral:tRNA from 1 species